rnacentral:rRNA from 1 species
UACGUAGGGUGCGAGCGUUAAUCGGAAUUACUGGGCGUAAAGCGUGCGCAGGCGGUUCGUUAAGUCAGUUGUGAAAGCCCCGAGCUCAACUUGGGAAUUGCGGUUGAAACUGGCGAACUAGAAUCUGGCAGAGGGGGGUGGAAUUCCACGUGUAGCAGUGAAAUGCGUAGAGAUGUGGAGGAACACCGAUGGCGAAGGCAGCCCCCUGGGCUAAGAUUGACGCUCAGGCACGAAAGCGUGGGGAGCAAACAGG